UGUGGAAGAAGUUGGCUGGAAAGAAAAUGUUCCAUGUGAGGAAUGGCAAGAAAGUGAGAUUCUUGGUGUUGAUAAUUGGGUAUGAAAUGAGACUAAACAUGCUUUAAGGAUUUUGAGAGUAUUGUGGAGAAAGUAGAGAGACUGAAAGAAUGAAGGGAAUAUUUUUUUCAUUAAUUCUUGCCUUUGUGUCAUCUCUUCUUACCACAUGACUUUUCAUUCUUUGAUAGAAAUAAUAGAAACUUCUCCC
rnacentral:lncRNA from 1 species